GUGCAUUUACACAAACCUAGUGGCACAGGUUGGUCACCUGACAGGACCUCAUUGCCAGUGCCAUCAAGGGACUUGAUCCACAGACGUGAGAUGCCUGAGGCUGCUGCUGGCCCGAUACAAGGCACAGUUUGAUGGCUGCUUCUUCUCUUUUAAAAGCAGAAUCACACUCCAAAAUAAUGAUACAAAGUAUAGUCCAGUGGCCCCACAGCUGUUUACUGUUACCAUUGUCAAGUUCAUGUGCUGGGCCUAAUUGUAUGUGCUGAGCUUCCUGCACAAGCACACAAGGAGUGUGCUGUGCUAUGAUGUCACAAGGGCUGUGAUGUCACCAGGCCCCAGGAAUCUCAGCUCCAUCACCACCACAUGGGACCCCUCCUCUCUGGUCUGGCGUUGCUGACUUGUCCCUCAGCAAGGAAUGGUUGUUACUGCCUCUGCUUCUUCCCGAAGAGUUGGAACCAGGCCACCCCUGAUCCCUGCUGAGGCUCCAGGUGUGACCCGAUUGUCCCCCUGCCAGAUGACAGCAGGAGGCUGGUGACUGGUGACUCUGCAGGCUGACAGGAAGUUAGGAGAGAGCCAAGCAUCUGGGAGGAGUGAAGGCCAGAGACCUGCUGAGGCCUGGGCUGUGUUCCUUCCUACUGGACUCAAACCCGGGUGGAUGCAGACUGACAUCAUCGCAGCCAUCUUGCCACCAUGAGGGGGCCGCUUGUCUGUGAAUGGAACCGUGCCACAGUGAGGAGAGCCGAGACCAGCCUGAGAACACCCCUGGAGCCCCUGAGUCAAGCUGUACCUGCGGCCGGUGCCCUUCUGGACUUUUCAGUUACAAGUCUGAGUCGGAUUUCCUGUCGUUGACGAGAGUUCUAGCCAACGGAUGUCAACUGAUGGAGAAGAAAGCUCACGGUAGUCAUCACACCCAGGGUCUGGCCCACACUGUCCUAUGUGCACACCUCACCAAAGCCUGUGAGACGGGGCACUCCUCCUCCUGUUUGUAGACAACGAGACUGGAGUGUGCACAGUUCACCAGACUUGCUGAGGGUCAUGCAGCCAGGAGUGAACCUGGCAGCUGGCCCUGAGCCGGUGCCCAGAGCCACGGCCUCUGCAGCAUCUUUAGUACGGGGCGUGCUGUGUGGGGCUUCCCCUGCAGCAGGUGAAGUCUGGCUCUGCACAGCAAGUGGGACCCUGGACAUUCCCAUUGGAGGAAAACCCACAGGAUGUUUUCCUACAGUUGGAAGGAGGUGAUUUCCCACCAUGCAGUGUAAUGACAUGGGAUUAAUUUAAUUGCCAAAAUUAAAUGUUGGUUGCUGGGAA